AAACUGUGAAGAGAAUGGGGGUUGCCUAGCCACUUUCCCCAUCCUCUCUGUUCCUUAUGUAGCAGUAAUUUCUAAAGGACAAUACAGGUGCUUGGAGAAAACAGAGAAGGUAGGAUCAGUGGUACUUAAAGCUCCACAGAAGCAUAAACUGGAUUUUUUCUUCAGUGGAGGACUUUCGAUAGUAGUGGAAACAGGGAAAGGCACAGAGAAGAUCCCUGUCCCACAGAAGAAAGAGAGCAUUGCCCAAGAAGUGUUGCUUAUGCCUACCCUGCAGCAAUGGUGUGGACAUUUCUUGUUCAGGGUCUCCUCCUGCACACCAGCUGAGUGGCUCAGGCUGAUAAGGAGAUGAAACAAGAGGAGUAAGGAAGACGUGUUCCGAGAUGUGCUGCAAUCCUCUGGUGCGUCGUAUGGCAAGUAGAGAGCAUGGAGAGAUGCUAUCAAUGACAAACUGCGGAUGGAUAGUCAGGACAGAAAACACGGGCAGGAGCAGAUGAUAAAGUGGCUCAGGGAGCUGACAUAUUGAGGUCCCUGACUGAACUUUGGGCAGAACACAUCCAUGCUCACCUCCCCCUGCAGCCCAUACAGACCUGCCUUCCAGGCGCU